GAUGAACGCUGGCGGCGUGCCUAAUACAUGCAAGUCGAGCGAACGGACGAGAAGCUUGCUUCUCUGAUGUUAGCGGCGGACGGGUGAGUAACACGUGGAUAACCUACCUAUAAGACUGUGAUCACCUCGGGAAACCGGCGCUAAUCCCGGAUAAUAUCCUGAUCCGCAUGGUUCCUAAGUGACAGACGGUCUUGCUGUCACUUAUAGAUGGAUCCGCGCUGCAUUAGCUAGUUGUUAAGGUAACGGCUUACCAAGGCAACGAUGCAUAGCCGACCUGAGAGGGUGAUCGGCCACACGGGAACUGAGACACGCACCAGAUUCCUAAGGGAGGCAGCAGUAGGGAAUCUGCAGCAAUAGGCGAGAGCCUGACGGAGCAACGCGGCGUGGGAGAUGAAGGGCUUCGGAUCGUAAAACUCUGUUAUUGGGGAAGAACAGAUGUGUAAUGAACCGUGCACAACUUGACGGUACCUAAUCAGAAAGCCACGGCUAACUACGUG
rnacentral:rRNA from 1 species